rnacentral:rRNA from 1 species
UACGGAGGGUGCAAGCGUUAUCCGGAUUCACUGGGUUUAAAGGGUGCGUAGGUGGGUCUGUAAGUCAGUGGUGAAAUCUCCGAGCUUAACUUGGAAACUGCCAUUGAUACUAUAGCUCUUGAAUUUUCUGGAGGUAAGCGGAAUAUGUCAUGUAGCGGUGAAAUGCUUAGAUAUGACAUAGAACACCAAUUGCGUAGGCAGCUUACUACACGAUCAUUGACGCUGAGGCACGAAAGCGUGGGGAGCAAACAGG